UAGGGAAUAUUAGUAAUGGGCGAAAGCCUGAACUAGCAACGCCGCGUGUGCGAAGAAGGCCUUCGGGUUGUAAAGCACUUUUUGAGAGGAUGAGGAAGGACGGUACUCUCAGAAUAAGUCUCGGCUAACUACGUGCCAGAAGCCGCGGUAACAAGUAGGAGGCGAACGUUAUCCGGAUUUACUGGGCGUAAAGCGCGUGUAGGUGGUUUGGUAAGUAGGGCGUGAAAGCUCCUGGCUCAACUGGGAGAGGCCGUUCUAAACUGCCGAACUAGAGGAUGGGAGAGGGAGGUGGAAUUCCGGGUGUAGCGGUGGAAUGCGCAGAUAUCCGGAGGAACACCAGUGGCGAAAGCGGCCUCCUGGACCAUUCCUGACACUCAGACGCGAAAGCUAGGGUAGCAAACGG
rnacentral:rRNA from 1 species